AUGGGGUGGGCAUGGGCAGCCCUCCGGUCCGGAGUUCCAAGGUGGCGUGCCCAAAAUCCAUCGUGCUCGUCCAGCUGGGUCGGCUCGAUCCGCCUCAUCAUUCGGUCGCAGCCCUAUUCGACCGCUCCCGGUCCCAGCCACGGCGGGGAGGAGGAUGGGGAUCGGGAUGAGGUCAGGCAAGAGAUGCUGAACAGAUGGGUGUUCCGCGCCGCACAGACAACUUUCAGGGACUACCUCCAUGCCACGCGCGGCUUGUGCUUCACUGACGCCAAGCAUAUCAGCGAGCGCUCGCCCGUCUUCCUCGGCGAGCUGCUGGAGGAGGUGAAGGUGAACAAGGCGGUGAUGAAGGCUGCUGAUCAGGAUGGAGACGAGGCGAGGUUGAGGUCAAAAGUGAAGAAGAGGGUCAGCAGGGCGCUGGUGCGAUUGUUCCACCGCCGCCCUGUCAACGAGUUCAGGCCCUUCCUUGAGAGCAUUGGCCUCAGGCCGAGCGAGUGCGAUUACCUCUUGCCGCAGGAACUCACAUUCCUCGCGGAUGCCGAGAUGCUGCUCGAGAGCUACCAUGCACUAUGCAGUUACGGCAUUGCACGCCGCAAGAUUGGAAGGAUAUACUGGAAUGCUACCGAGGUGUUUAGUCUUGGCCAGGGCGUUCUUGCAUCUAAGCUCGAGGCCCUUGAGGGUCUAGGCUUCAGUAAGGCCACUGUGAUCAAAUUAGUGAUCUCUACUCCUACCGUGUUGGUUCAUGACCCGGCCGUGGAACUGAAGACGUUCUUGCUGUGGCUAGACGACAUUGGGAUUCAGCGAGACUGGAUCGGCCAGUUCUUAUCUGAAAGGGUGUCCUAUAAUUGGCCAAAAAUGGUCCAAGCUCUUCAGUCCUUGAGUGAUCUGGGGUUCACCAAGGAUGACAUUGGUAAAGUGGUGAGGAAAAAUCCGCAUUUGUUGUUGGAACACUCUGGUGGGGAGCUACAUUCCACAGUUGACACCAUGCAAAGGGUUGGAUCUGGAAAAAAGGAGUUACUUGAUCUUUUUCUGAACCACCCCAAUGUUAACAGCGUGGAUGUCGGUUGGAACAUAUCGAAGGGGUCAUGUUUCUUACAUGACAUUGGCAUAAGCUAUUGUGAUGUGACGAAGAUUUUGGAUUCUCAUGGAUGGAUGUUCGGUGCUGCCCCCAUGAAAGCCACGAGCACCAUUCUUGCGCAACUCAAUGUGGGCAAGGCACGGCUGCGAAAGAUCAUAAUGGAGGAACCACGUCAGUCGAUGAAUUAUACGAUUGGCUCAAAGGUCAGCAGACUGCCGAGAUGUAAACCUGAACCCUGUGUCAAGGAGAAGAGGGAAUUCUUAAGACGCAUAGGAUUUGUUGAAGGCUCGGAAGAUAUGGAGAAGGCACUCAAAGCCAUCCGUGGAAAAGGCGCCAACCUGCAAGAUCGGUACAACAAACUAGUGGAGAAAGGGUUAGACCCAAAACAUGUAGCCCACAUGGUGAAGGUCGCUCCUCGGAUUCUGAAUCAGAAGACGGACGCCCUUGCUUAUAAGAUAUCCUUCCUUGUGCAUGUGGCGGGUUAUCCCCUGAGUGCUCUGCCUGCUUUCCCACGGUACCUAGAGUUCACUGUGCACAGAAGCAAACUCAAGAUGCUGAUGUACAGUUGGCUGCUAGAAAGGGGGCUGGCUGCACCCCAACUUACUCUUAGCACGGUCCUAGCUUCCUCGGAAACAGAAUUCAUCAAGGCUCAUCAUGUAUAUAAGGUUCCCAUGGGUCGUGAGGUUUGGUGGAAGCUCAAGCGGGAGGGAGGUAGCUUCGGCCAAGAGGAGAUCAGAUGGCUGCGACACAGGUGCAACUUGGACGAUAGUCGAAUCGAAUGCAUGAGUUGA
rnacentral:rRNA from 1 species